AGCUGUGAGAGCGAUUUGGCUGAGACAUCUGUUGGCCUUUGUUCAUCAGUGUUGAGUCUACUGAUCUGAUUGACGAGGCAGAUGUCCCCCCUCUUCCCUCACUGCUCCCCACACACCCUUCCCCCCAACCCAAGAAGCUGUACACAUGGAAGUAAUGACAAAUAAACAGGAAGGAAAGCCUUGGUCUUGGGUAAGAGGAGAGAAGGGACUUGGGACCAAGUAUAAGGGAACUUCAACAUUAAAUGGCUAUGU
rnacentral:sRNA from 1 species